AACGACUCUCGACAACGGAUAUCUCGGCUCUCGCAUCGAUGAAGAACGUAGCGAAAUGCGAUACUUGGUGUGAAUUGCAAAAUCCCGUGAACCAUCGAGUCUUUGAACGCAAGUUGCGCCCGAAGCCAUUAGGUUGAGGGCACGUCUGCCUGGGUGUCACGC
rnacentral:rRNA from 1 species